rnacentral:rRNA from 1 species
CAGUCGCCACGGUAAUACGUAGGUCCCGAGCGUUGUCCGGAUUUAUUGGGCGUAAAGCGAGCGCAGGCGGUUAGAUAAGUCUGAAGUUAAAGGCUGUGGCUUAACCAUAGUACGCUCUGGAAACUGUUUAACUUGAGUGCAAGAGGGGAGAGUGGAAUUCCAUGAGUAGCGGUGAAAUGCGUAGAUAUAUGGAGGAACACCGGUGGCGAAAGCGGCUCUCUGGCUUGUAACUGACGCUGAGGCUCGAAAGCGUGGGGCGCAAACAGGAUUAGAUACCCCAGUAGUCCCUGUCUCUUAUACC